rnacentral:misc_RNA from 1 species
GAUGAAGAACGUAGCGAAAUGCGAUACUUGGUGUGAAUUGCAGAAUCCCGUGAACCAUCGAGUCUUUGAACGCAAGUUGCGCCUCAAGCCAUUAGGUUGAGGGCACGUCUGCCUGGGCGUCACAUAUCGUUGCCUGAUGCCAGUUUCCUCGUGAUGGGUGACUGUGCAGGGCGAAUGAUGGCUUCCCGUGAGCAUUGUUGCCUCAUGGUUGGUUGAAAAUUGAGUCCUUGGUAGGGAGCGCCGUGAUAGAUGGUGGUUGAGUGAUGAUGCUCGAGACCAAUCAUGGGUAACUCCACCAGAAUUGGGCUCGGUGACCCACAUGCGUCCCUUGGAUGCUCCCUAAGGAGACCUCAGGUCAGGCGGGGCUACCCGCUGAGUUUAAGCAUAUCAAUAAGCGGAGGA